GUGCUUGCUUUGGCAGCACAUAUACUAAAACGAUUCGGAGAAGAUUAGCAUGGCCCCUGUGCAAGGGUGACACGCAAAUUCGUGAAGCGUUCCGUAAUAAA
ensembl:snRNA U6 U6 spliceosomal RNA